AAGGCAUGUUACAGGUGCUUCUUCAUAUGAUUAUGCAGCCAAGAUAGUGGGGGUAUUGAAUGGAAAUUUUUACUAUUUUACACUAAGAUUGUCCAAUUUUAGUUGUAUUUAUGGUUGAGUAAAUAGUGUCUUAACUUGUAUCUGAGAAGUCAUUGGAGCGGUAACCAUGACUUUAGGUUUUUUAUAGUAGUAGUACAUGUUGCUACUUUUUAGUACCCAUAGAAAGGAUGUACUCCACUAUUCAUUUAUGUAAAACUGCAAUCAUUUGAAUAAAGGAGUUCAUGUAUUUGCCUCACUUUUAUUCCAA
rnacentral:lncRNA from 1 species